rnacentral:rRNA from 1 species
CCCGCACAAGCGGUGGAGCAGUGUGGUUUAAAUUCGAUGAUACGCGAGGAACCUUACCUGGGCUCAAAUGUAUGUUGACGUAUUUCUGAAAGGGAUACUUCUUCGGACAAUAUACAAGGUGCUGCAUGGUUGUCGUCAGCUCGUGCCGUGAGGUGUCGGGUUAAGUCCCAUAACGAGCGCAACCCCUACCUUUAGUUGCCAUCAGGUAAUGCUGGGGACUCUAAAGGAACUGCCUACGCAAGUAGUGAGGAAGGCGGGGAUGACGUCAAAUCAGCACGGCCCUUACGUCCAGGGCUACACACGUGCUACAAUGGCCGAUACAGAGGGCAGCUACCUGGUGACAGGAUGCAAAUCUCCAAAGUCGGUCUCAGUUCGGAUCGGAGUCUGCAACCCGACUCCGUGAAGUUGGAUUCGCUAGUAAUCGCGUAUCAGCCAUGGCGCGGUGAAUACGUUCCCGGGCCUU